UGCAACUGAGCUUGGAUUAGUCUCAAAUGACAAAGAAUCCCGGACAAAAUGGGGUGUCUACAGCUGUCCCUCUUUGCACAUUUUUUGGGAAACAAAAAUUGUGCAAAGACGUAGACACCCCUUUAUGACUCAACCGGAUUUUUUUUUUUUGCCCAUUUUUUCUUGCUUCCUUUUUUUUUUUUUUUAAAUUUUGAUCAAAGCUCCUCUAAGCAAAGGCUAAAUGAUUUUGAGAAACAUAAACAAAGCUCCUCUAAAUAGAGGCAACUUUUUUUUUGUCCAUUUUUUUUGCUUUUUUACUUUU
rnacentral:lncRNA from 1 species